rnacentral:rRNA from 1 species
AGAGUUUGAUCCUGGCUCAGGAUGAACGCUGGCGGCAUGCCUAACACAUGCAAGUCGAACGAAGCACUUGAGUAGCUUGCUAUGAGAGUGACUUAGUGGCGAACGGGUGAGUAAUGCAUGAGCAACCUGCCCUUCAGUGGGGGACAACAGUUGGAAACGACUGCUAAUACCGCAUAACACUUCCGAAAGGCAUCUUUUGGAAGUCAAAGAUUUAUUGCUGAAGGAUGGGCUCAUGUCUGAUUAGCUAGUUGGUGAGGUAACGGCUCACCAAGGCGACGAUCAGUAGCCGGUCUGAGAGGAUGAACGGCCACAUUGGGACUGAGAUACGGCCCAGACUCCUACGGGAGGCAGCAGUGGGGAAUAUUGGGCAAUGGGGGAAACCCUGACCCAGCAAUGCCGCGUGAAGGAAGAAGGCCUUCGGGUUGUAAACUUCUUUUACCGAGGACGAAACAAAUGACGGUACUCGGCGAAUAAGCUCCCCGGCUAACUACGUGCCAGCAGCCGCGGU